CUUUGAAUUACCAGCGCACACACAUUUGUAUAAUUAUUGUCACAGACUCUAAGGUGAUUUUCUUUCUUUUGGGUGUGGGGAUUCAUGAUGUUAGGUGGCCAGACAAGCACAAACCUCUCAGGAGCCCUACCACGACAAGGCCAGAGAACACCCCGAUGACGGAAAGCAUCCAGAUGGAGGCCUCUACAACAAGGGACCCUCCUACUCGAGUUAUUCCGGGUACAUAAUGAUGCCAAAUAUGAAUAACGACCCAUACAUGUCAAAUGGAUCUCUUUCUCCACCCAUCCCGAGAACAUCAAAUAAAGUGCCCGUGGUGCAGCCAUCCCAUGCGGUCCAUCCUCUCACCCCCCUCAUCACUUACAGUGACGAGCACUUUUCUCCAGGAUCACACCCGUCACACAUCCCAUCAGAUGUCAACUCCAAACAAGGCAUGUCCAGACAUCCUCCAGCUCCUGAUAUCCCUACUUUUUAUCCCUUGUCUCCGGGUGGUGUUGGACAGAUCACCCCACCUCUUGGCUGGCAAGGUCAGCCUGUAUAUCCCAUCACGGGUGGAUUCAGGCAACCCUAC
rnacentral:sRNA from 1 species